AGGUCCAGCUGGUCCUAGAAAGAAACGUCCGUGCUGCGUUGAGGUCACCAACCUCGAUAUGAUCACUGAGAUGCUGAGGCUGAUACGACCGGCUCCCCUUAUUUUGACUCCGGUCAGUGAGCCAGACCACCGGUGGAAAUGUCUGUGAAGAUCCUCUCCGUCACUCUCCUCCUGGUCUCAAUGUGUGUGUGCUGCCACUCCUCUGAAGGUAACUGUGCUUUUACUUUUAUAAAGAAAAAUAAGGAAAAAAAGAGAUAAAAUAGAUUAUUUGAUCGCAGCAAUGACUAUCUCCAACAAUGGCUUCUGUAAAGACCACAAACCUUUACAUCAGUCAUAUUCUGGUAUCUGCUCAGUCUAUAAUUGCACAUGUUUUUUCC
ensembl:lncRNA